CAAACGGAAUAUAAUAUAAACUAGGAUGGACCUGUAUGCUGCAGAUCAAAGUACAGUUUCGGUGUUUUCGAUGAUUCAUUGAUUUGAUGAAUGGUAUCAUUUCAGACGGCUUCAGGGAGGUUAUUAUGUCUCCUGUCUUGGUGCAUGGAGAUGUUAUAUGAUUUUUCACACUUUUCUGCACAAAACCUUCAGUUGCUGGUGUUUAAAUUGUAUUAAGGUAUUCAGUGACAGUGUUGGUACAUAUAAUCGUCGCGAUGUUGUAGGAAGGGCCCGCCAUCACACACAAGUCUCUUAGCCGACCACAGUGACAUGUGCAUUGUUACAUUGUAAAAUAACCUCUUUAAGUAUUAGUACUGAUACGAACGUUAAGUGUUUUAUAAUUUGCGUCUAUGAUAGUGCAAAUCGAAUGUAGUUGUGUACCCACUCUUAAUUUGUGACUUUUAAUUAACAAUUAAGCUUUUGUGCGAACAAAGUUGUUCGAUUUCUUUGGUAAAAUACAAAAAAAUUGUUGAUACUACGCAGUUUUUAAGUAUUAAAUGAACGUUUUCAUUGUUGUAUUCUACCAAUUAUUUGACGAAUUGUUGUAGCUGUGAGAUUUAUAAAAGUAAAGGACAAGGAAAAUACAUUGGUGAUCAAUAUCAAUCAGUGGGCAAAUUAUGAAGUAGGAAUUAAUAUAAUUUCUUCAAGAACAGUUUUUAUCCUAUUAAUUAAUAUUAGUUACUGGAUUUCUCUUGGAUACGACCCUGUAAGAUACUACUUUCAUAAA